GCCCGUUAGCUCAGUUGGUAGAGCAUCAGACUUUUAAUCUGAGGGCCAUGGGUUCGAGUCCCAUAUCGGGCU
rnacentral:tRNA from 1 species